GGCUACGAUCCGUAACUGGNCUGAGAGGAUGAUCAGUCACACUGNCAACUGAGACACGGUCCAGCACUCCUACGGGAGGCAGACAAUUGGGGAAUAUUGGACAAUGGGCGAAAGCCUGAUCCANCCAUGCCGCGUGUGUGAAGAAGGUCUUCGGAUUGUANAGCACUUUAAGUUGNGANGAAGGGCANUUACCUAAUACGUGAUUGUUUUGACGNUACCGACAGAAUAANCACCGGCUAACUCUGUGCCANCAGCCGCGGUAAUACAGAGGGUGCAAGCGUUAAUCGGAAUUACUGGGCGUAAAGCGCGCGUANGUGGUUUGUUAAGUUGAAUGUGAAAUCCCCGGGCUCAACCUGGGAACUGCAUCCAAAACUGGCAAGCUAGAGUAUGGUAGAGGGUGGUGGAAUUUCCUGUGUANCGGUGAAAUGCGUANAUAUAGGAAGGAACACCAGUGGCGAAGGCGACCACCUGGACUGAUACUGACACUGAGGUGCGAAAGCGUGGGGAGCAAACAGGAUUAA
rnacentral:rRNA from 1 species